UUUGUUUUUGAGGGUGUAGCUCCGCCCCUGCUUAUUCUAGACUCUUCCUAUUUUUCGUUCCCUUGGUGCUUAGCUUAUUACUGUUGGAGGGCUAUGUCUUCAUUCUUUGACUGUUGUUCGUUUGUGGCUCUAGCUUUUUCUUGCUCGUGCAUGGAUAUGGUGGUUUUGGUUGGAGUGGCCGUCCUUUCCCUUGCUGCUUGCACUUUUUGUUCUCCUAUUUUUCUGCUUUCUUCUUGGUUUUCGCUUGUAUUACACAACUACUCUUUUUCUUUUACCACUAUUUCUUCUAUUGAGUUUUUGUCGGAAAUUUUUUGACGAGGCUCAUCCCUUAGUUAGGGUCUCUGUGCUAUCGUUGAGUUUCUUAUG
rnacentral:lncRNA from 1 species